rnacentral:tRNA from 1 species
AGGGGGAAUGGUCGGGAUAGCUCAGUUGGAAGAGMAAAGGACUGAAAAUCCUCGKGUC